AUUGAACGCUGGCGGCAGGCCUAACACAUGCAAGUCGAACGGUAGCACAGAGAGCUUGCUCUCGGGUGACGAGUGGCGGACGGGUGAGUAACGUCUGGGAAACUGCCCGAUGGAGGGGGAUAACUACUGGAAACGGUAGCUAAUACCGCAUAACGUCGCAAGACCAAAGUGGGGGACCUUCGGGCCUCACACCAUCGGAUGUGCCCAGAUGGGAUUAGCUAGUAGGUGGGGUAAUGGCUCACCUAGGCGACGAUCCCUAGCUGGUCGGAGAGGAUGAACAGGCACGCUGGAACUGAGACACGGUCCAGACUCCUACGGGAGGCAGCAGUGGGGAAUAUUGCACAAUGGGCGGAAGCCUGAUGCAGCCAUGCCGCGUGUAUGAAGAAGGCCUUCGGGUUGUAAAGUACUUUCAGCGGGGAGGAAGGCGGUGAAGUUAAUAACUUCACCGAUUGACGUUACCCGCAGAAGAAGCACCGGCUAACUCCGUGCCAGCCGCCGCAGUAA
rnacentral:rRNA from 1 species